rnacentral:lncRNA from 1 species
UUUUUUACAUACAUAUUAAAAUAAAAAAAAAAUUUAAAUUAGGAGUAGUUGCUGUAAAACUCUAAAGUAUUUAAUAGAAAUUAAUGUACACUAAAGAAAAAGAAUUAGUUAGUAUACUUAUGUAUUUAAUGAUGAGCUGCAGAAAACAAUACAAAAGGUUAAUUAUUAACUGAAAAAGAAAUCAUCAAUUGUCGAUUGUUUAGCAUUCUUUCGAAGCAAGUCAUUUACGAAUCGCUCAUAAUCGGUGUUUAUGAAAGUGUUCCACGUCGGCUUUGUUUUGCACACCUAGCCGUAAGAUUCGAAGUGCCUCCCUCAUCUGAGCAGGCGUCGGAAUUUGGUCCUCGAUAGCACUUUCGGGUUCAUCGUCGGCAUCAGAAUCUUGUGACGAAACUUGAUCUUUGACACAUACGGCUUCGCAAAUGUCUUCAUCAGUUAACGAAGUAGAAGUCUCAACCUUCUCGUCGAUCUCAAUCCAUGCUUCAAAAUCCUCAGUAUUCAUAUCGGGCGGGGGAUUGAAAACGUCUUCCAUUUCUUUCAUCACAGCAGCAUUGUUGUCCUCUGGUUGACAAAAUCCUCCACGACUGAAACAAUUUCGAAUUGUUUUUUCCGAGACAUUAUUCCAUGACAUUGUUAACAAAUGUAUGGCAUCCAAAACAUUUGUUUUUUUGGCUAGAGCGUUCGCAUUAAGAUCUUCAGCGUCUUGGUCUUCCAUAUUUUCUAAGAUCCUUGAACGCAUUUCCUUUCUGUAAUAUGCCUUCAAGGUGCGGAUAAUUCCCUGGUCUCACGGUUGAAUUAAAGAAGUGGUGCUUGGUGGUAAGAACACGAUAUUUAUCUUUUUUAAUGAAACAGUUACAUCAUGCGUAGUGCAGUUGUCUAUGAGCAGGAGUAUGUUCCGUUUUAGUCGCUUGUCCCAUUUCAACAGCCAUUCGUUAAAGAUGAUGGUAGUCAUCCAAGCCGUUUUGUUGGCAAAAUAAUCGACGGGCAGAUUUUUCACACCUUUGAAACAGCGGGGCUACUUAUUUUUUCCAAUCACUAAAAGUUUUUCUUUAGUGCCGGCCAUACUAGCGCAACAUAGCACAGUUAGGCGUUCCUUGGAGGUUUUACACCUUUGCGUACUUUCCUUCUGAAACAUGUACGUGUGUUCAGGCAGCGCACGAGAAUAUAGGCCAGUUUCAUCAGUGUUAUAUACAUCUUCAAGUGAAUAUGUGGCAAUAAGUUUAGGCCAUUCUUCUUUAAUCCACUGAUCUGCGGCUACAUUAUCGGCAUCUUUUUGUUCACCAUGUGUCCUUCGGAAGAGUAUGUUCUGCCUCUUUUUCCAGCGGUGGAACUAUCCUUCUGUGGCUACGAAGUUUCCUUCACCCAAUUUUGCAGCUAAAUCUUCAGCUUUUUGGCGCAAAAUUGGACCAUUAACACCAGCGUCCCUCUCACGAACAUUUGUGAACCAGAGUUUUAAUGCAGAUUCAACCUCUUUGUCUUUUCCAUCUCGAUUUCUUUUACAAUUCAGAUUUUCGUUCAAAGUGUACUUUUUUUCGAUAUCUUCACGAUUUUUUAAAAUUUUGCACAAAAGCGGCUGCGAAACUUUCAAUUGCACAGCAGCAUUUCUUUGGCUCAUUUUCUGCAAUUUAUCGUAACGAUUUAAAAUGUCAACCUUUUCUUUCACAGUAAGAUCUCUCCGUUUCCUUUCCAUUAUAAAAAACAAAUCAGGUUACAAAUCGUAUGAACUAUGGUAAAGUGAAAAUUUAUGCUGAUCUUCUUCUGCAUGCGUCUUUUAAACACUUAGAUGUUGCAGUUUCACUAUCCCCCUCCCCAUUUUAUUCAAUAGCGAUUCAGUAAGCGACCUGCCAAGAUCAAGUGGCAUACCCGAAACAAUGUUCUCUUUUGAAGGUCACCCCUUACCCCCUUCCCAUAGCGGCUGGAACAUAUCAUCUGUCACAUUGUUUAGUUCUUCUGAAAAGGGGCUCGUGA